CGGCCCAGGUACCGCGCGACUCGUUUUUUUUUUCCCCUCUCUUCUCACCGCUUCACCUGUGCCAAAACCCUUGAGCUCUCCACCCUCCUCUGUACGCAUCUUCCGGCGGCGCACCAGGCGGCGUCGAGGGCGGAGUGGGAGACAGCGCCAGGGACGUGGUUCGGGCGGCGAGGGCGGUGCAGCUCCUGGCGGCGCAGUCGGCAAGGACCUAGGGGGGGGGGGGGGGCAGCGAGCAGACCAACACCCAUUUUUGUCCUUCCAUUCCUCUCCAAAUCAAGUUUCUGCAGCAACCGGUGCAAACUAAAGAUGGCGGGAUUCGGCAGCCUGGCACCCAAGACCAAGAACAUAGUGGUGGCUGGAGGACUCUCUGCUUUCGUCCUUGGCGUGUAUUACUACACCAUGAGAGCGGUGGGAGGCACAGAUGAGCUGCAGGUCGCCAUUGAUAAGUUUGAAGGCAUGAAGAAAAAGGAUGCUGGGAACUCAUCCGCCGCGGGAUCCUAAGAACAGGGUUUAGAAUUGGCUCCAUAUCCGCCUCUAUACUGAACUGUGGUUUUGUACAAUAAUGGCUCAAUACUAGGUUGUGCUUAUGCUUUGACGUUAAGCUGGAAUAAUUUUUGACUGAAUCGACUAUAUUAAAACCUCCCCGGAGUUGCUGGGCUGAGAGCGUUUUGGACUGGUGCUCGCACGCGGCGCUAUCCAUUUUUAUUCACAUGACAUUAAGAAAGAGCUUUCUGUGAUUGAACUUUAACUAGGUUUUUUUUGCCUUUUGUAUUUAGUAUUGUUUCAAUGGUAGUUAUCCUCUGGAAAUAGCUGUUUCAAGUAUAUUUAGCUAUGCCUUUUUCUUCACGGUGUUGAUUUGGUGAGUAGAGAAUCUGCUAUGUUUGCUACUAAUAUUAUAGUUCUGCCCUUCAAUGAAAUGUAAACAAUGUGAAUUGAGGUUAAUGUACGAUAGUUGGCAUGUGACUAGGUGA